CCAGCAGCCGCGGUAAUUCCAGCUCCAAUAGCGUAUAUUAAAGUUGUUGCAGUUAAAAAGCUCGUAGUUGGAUUUCUGGCAGGAGCGACCGGUCUCACACCCUGUGUGAGAACUCGUGUUGUCUCUGGCCAUCCUUGGGGAGCUCCUGUUUGGCAUUCCGUUGUCGGGCAGGGUAUCCCCAUCGUUUACUGUGAAAAAAUUAGCUGGUUGAAAGCAGGCUUAUGCCGUUGAAGAUAUUAGCAUGGAAUAAGAAGAUAGGUAGGGUGGACUAUUUUGGGGGGUUGCGCACAAGAGAAAUGAUUAAUAGGGACAGUUGGGGCGAUUCGUAUUCCAGUGGCAGAGGUGAAAGGCUUGGAUUGCGGGAAGACGAACUACGGCGAAAGCAUUUAGCAAGGAUGUUUGCAUUAAUCAAGAACGAAAGU
rnacentral:rRNA from 1 species